AUUGAACGCUGGCGGCAGGCUUAACACAUGCAAGUCGAACGAGUGGCGGACGGGUGAGUAAUGCUUGGGAAUCUGCCUUAUGGAGGGGGAUAACUACGGGAAACUGUAGCUAAUACCGCGUACCAUAGGAUGAGCCCAAGUGGGAUUAGGUAGUUGGUGGGGUAACGGCUCACCAAGCCGACGAUCCCUAGCUGGUCUGAGAGGAUGACCAGCCACACUGGAACUGAGACACGGCCCAGACUCCUACGGGAGGCAGCAGUGGGGAAUAUUGCGCAAUGGGGGCAAGCUGAUGCAGCCAUGCCGCGUGAAUGAAGAAGGCCUUCGGGUUGUAAAGUACUUUCGGUAGCGAGGCGUUAACUACAGAAGAAGCACCGGCUAACUCCGUGCCAGCCGCCGCGGUAAUUC
rnacentral:rRNA from 1 species